rnacentral:rRNA from 1 species
UGGGGAAUCUUCCGCAAUGGACGAAAGUCUGACGGAGCAACGCCGCGUGUAUGAUGAAGGUCUUCGGAUUGUAAAGUACUGUCAUUGGGGAAGAACGGUUUUCUUGAAAAGAUUGAGAAGACAUGACGGUACCCAAGGAGGAAGCCCCGGCUAACUACGUGCCAGCAGCCGCGGUAAUACGUAGGGGGCAAGCGUUGUCCGGAAUUAUUGGGCGUAAAGGGCGCGUAGGCGGGCCUUUAAGUCCGGUGUGAAAGAUCAGGGCUCAACCCUGAGAGUGCAUCGGAAACUGGAGGCCUUGAGGACAGGAGAGGAAAGUGGAAUUCCACGUGUAGCGGUGAAAUGCGUAGAUAUGUGGAGGAACACCAGUGGCGAAGGCGACUUUCUGGACUGUAACUGACGCUGAGGCAUGAAAGCGUGGGUAGCAAACAGGAUUAGAUACCCUGGUAGUCCACGCCGUAAACGAUGAGCACUAGGUGUAGGAGGUAUCGACCCCUUCUGUGCCGCAGUUAAACACAAUAAGUACUCCGCCUGGGAAGUACGAUCGCAAGAUUAAAACUCAAAUGAAUUGACGGGGUC